GGAAGUCUGCACCUGGUUUCCUCCAGACUUUGACCCAUGCACCUUUUCCCUUUGCUGAUUUUGCUUCGUAUCCUUUGACUGUCAUAAAUCAUAGCUGUGAGUUCAAUGACAUGGUGGUCCUGGGAGUCCCCCUAGUGAGCCACUGAACCUGAGGUGGUCCUGGGAACCCCUGGCACAGAGCAUCAUAAGUGGACCUCACUAGAAGGACCUUGGCUCUGAUAUAUGGUGAAAGUGCUGUUUGAGAAAAGGAAGGAUGAAGGAGCGGAAGAUCUGUGGAUAUGAAUGAUGUGAAACCCCAGCUGAGUUACUGUCUGCUGCAAGAGAACUGCUUCUGGAAGCUCUCCUUUCUUCCUGAAGGGAAAACUCCCGGUGCUGCCUUUCCUAAUUCUGGGAGAACUCUGAACUCUGACACGCUGAGCAGCAGGGGGCGACCCAGCCCCUCCACUUCCUGCACAGAACACCCCCCGAGGUCCUGCACACUCAGGAAGCAGGCGAGCUUGUGUCACAGACAAGCAAACCAUUGGUAACUGACAUCCUCAGGCAGUCCCUCUGAAACCAAAG
rnacentral:lncRNA from 1 species